UACGAAGGGGGCUAGCGUUGCUCGGAAUCACUGGGCGUAAAGCGCACGUAGGCGGCUUUCUAAGUCAGGGGUGAAAUCCUGGAGCUCAACUCCAGAACUGCCUUUGAUACUGGAGAGCUUGAGUCCGGAAGAGGUGAGUGGAACUCCGAGUGUAGAGGUGAAAUUCGUAGAUAUUCGGAAGAACACCAGUGGCGAAGGCGGCGUUCUGGACUGCAUCUGACACUGAGGAACGAAAGCCAGGGGAGCAAACGGG
rnacentral:rRNA from 1 species